rnacentral:lncRNA from 1 species
CCGGGACCAUGACGAGGCGGCUGAUUCGAAGAACCCAGGUAACUGGACAACUUUUAUAAAGAUGCAACUGAAGACCAACAAGGAGUUUCGAAGUCUCCACCAAGCGAUAACAGAUAAUUAAAAGGCUUCUUGUGGACUACACUAGUAAAACGUCUCUCAAUGAAAUGCUGUCUAUACUGGCGGUUCAGAUACGGAACCAGAUAUGCCAUCAGAUCGCUACUGCCGAGUGCUUCAGUGCACUGAUCGACGAAAGCAAAGACAAGGGCAAGAGAGAAGAGCUUGCUUUCUCUGUUCGCUACUACACUACAAGAUCAGACAAGAGUAAGAAUCACUCCACAGAAAAAUUUAUCCUAGCAAACAAGUUAAAC